GGCUAUGUUGAAUAAGGAGUUAGACUUUGCUCGACCGAAUAUUCAUAUGCAGUAGGUGGGAGAGAAGAAGAAAAAGAUUGUUGAAUCUAGAGAGAAAGAUAGACAGGCUAAGAGAGCUAAAUCUGUGGACCAGCACCAGAGUCAGCCACAGAGUGGUAACUAGGGGAAAUAAGUGGUCAAACAAGAAGAAGUUUUGGAAUAAUGCACAGUCAGCAGCCAGCGCCCCAGC
rnacentral:lncRNA from 1 species